rnacentral:rRNA from 1 species
GACGAACGCUGGCGGCGUGCUUAACACAUGCAAGUCGAACGGUGAAGCGCCUUCCUUUUUGGUGGGUGUGGAUGAGUGGCGAACGGGUGAGUAACACGUGAGUAACCUGCCCCCUUCUUCUGGAUAACCGCAUGAAAGUGUGGCUAAUACGGGAUAUUCUGGGUCUGUCGCAUGAUGGGUCUGGGAAAGAUAUUGUUUCGGUGGGGGAUGGGCUCGCGGCCUAUCAGCUUGUUGGUGGGGUGAUGGCCUACCAAGGCGGUGACGGGUAGCCGGCCUGAGAGGGUGGACGGUCACACUGGGACUGAGACACGGCGAAGACUCCUACGGGAGGCAGCAGGGGGGAAUAUUGCACAAUGGGCGCAAGCCUGAUGCAGCGACGCCGCGUGAGGGAUGGAGGCCUUCGGGUUGUGAACCUCUUUCGCCAGUGAAGCAGGCCUGCCUCGUUUGUGGGUGGGUUGACGGUAGCUGGAUAAGAAGCGCCGGCUAACUACGUG